GGCGAGGUAGCUCAGCUGGCUAGAGCGCAGCACUCAUAAUGCUGAGGUCGAGGGUUCGAGUCCCUCCCUCGCUACAA
rnacentral:tRNA from 1 species